rnacentral:lncRNA from 1 species
GUAACAAAGGGAAUAGCCAUUAACAUCCAUCCAUCCAUCCUUCAUUGAGUCGGAUGGGAACCGUAGCAUCUGCGGACAGUUUUUCCGGAAUCUCAGCAACCUUUAUACUUCAAAGUUGCCAUCAUCAGAGCUAGGAAUUUUUAGAGCUACAGGGCUCUCCAAGUAGUAUUCAGUGUGGAGUGUGCAGGACAUCAGGUGGAAGUGCGUCUGCUUGCAAUAUAACCAGGGCUAUGCAGUUUUUCUUCUACUUCACUUGCAAGUGGGAUCCAUGUUUGCAACCGUUGCACAUUGGUUGUGCUUAAUUCGAAAACUGUAUUUUUCGUGGCUUAUGAGUGGCCUUUGAGGUAAUACAGGCUUGAUUUGUUGAUUUCAGGAAAUGUACUCUGUUGUCCAUUUAUUUGUUGCUUUAUUUGUUGAUUUCAGGAAAUGUACUCUGUGGUCCAUUUUUUGGCGGAAAAUGAUGUUGCAGUUGUUCCUACCUGUUGGGUGUGCAAUGGCCGCACGGCAUGGCCACCCUACAGAUCAAAUCGGUUGAUGAUGGUAAUUGAGAGCGUGAAGAGCCCUUUACUGACUGGGCCACAUUCUCCUGUCAGGUGAUGGCAUCAUGUUGUAAGUAUAGCGGGUGUCUAGCAACCGGGAUUAGUCAGGAAUAUUUUAAUUACCGGGAAAAAUCAGAGAUAUUGUCAAAAAGCGAGCCCAGUCAAGGAAAACGAGCCAGAAAUGCCAUUGAGUGCCCUGAGCAAGGAGUUGAGAACCUUGGGGCAGAGAAAUAGGCUCUAAGCAGAGCCACGCUCUGCUUAGAGCAGAGCGCGGGCUCUGCUCACCUAAUGUAGAGUGUGCUAGAGCACUGUACGAGCCAGAAUUUCUAGGCACGGCCCGACCCGGCCCGGUAGAGGCAUGGCCCGGGCCCGGCCCGAGCCCGAUAGAAUAUUUCAUUUCCAGGUCCAGCCAGACUUGGCCUUGAAGAGACACGGCUCGAACCCGGCCCGGACCCGGCAGAAUUUUAGACAGAAACUUGAGCCCGGCCCAAGCCCCACAAAAUAUUUGUUUUGUUUAAUAUAAGCCUGAGCUUGGCCCGAUCCUGACAGAUUAUAUACAUGAGCCCGAAAAAGUUGUCAGGCUUUAACCUAAAAACUGUCUAAGCAUAAUGCGAGCAUAUUUGAUUUAAUGAACAAAAGGUUGGGGCGCAAACGAGCUUGUGGUGGUUAAACAUUUGACUGGUGUGCUCGGCUUUCUUGUUUCAGUGACAUAUGAAGAUGCAAAGUUCAAAGAAAAAAAAUCCGGAAGCGGCGUCCGACCUAUCAACGAAUAAUGAAGAGCGGGAGAAGAGAAAAAGGAAGAGACUGCUCCUUUUCCGUCAAGCUUGCCUCUUCUGCAGGAACGACCUAGCACUCAGCCAGCCCCUCAACUUCCAGGACGUGCACCAGUGCCCAAGCAAAAACGCACACGUGAGCAGCGUGUCUCUUCCCAGGAGUGACUGAGGGGCUGCCACAAGGGGAGAAGGCAAGCAUGUUUCUGAUUACAAGAAUGGACAGUUGGGCUGGGCUAGUUGGUAAGAAUUGAUGUUGAAAAACAGUGCAAAAACCAGACAAAGAGAAAAGAACACACAGCACCUUGUCCUGUGUGUUCUCUUAUCCGUGCAUUUUGCACUGUUUUUCAGCAUGUUUCUGCCUUGAUUUUUCUGUUAUAGUUUUAAAUGUCUGUAGUUGGUUACUUUGAUCCCUGUUGGAAGCAUGGAACUGGUUAACCGUGUUAAAUGCAUGGAAUUGAAAAAAAAAUCAUGCUAUUUGAAUCAUUUAAAAGCUUUUUUGUCUAAUGAUUUCUUUCUCUUUUUUUUACAACCAUCCCAUGAGUGAGUGCCUGUUGUUUGAAUUUUUUAUGGCAAUUUUUAAUAUGCAUAUGUUACCUUUUAUUUCUAUUCAUGUAUACAUUUUAGCCCUAGCUAGUGGUUUCUUUUAUUUAAUUUAUGUACACAUUAGUAUGGUAUUUUUACAAGUUUUAAAAUCUAUGUUCUUUUUCUAGUCCUUUCUGGUUUAUUGCCUCCAUUAUUUAUUUAUAUGUCCUAGCCCAAGAUAGUUUGAGAUAUAUUUAGAAUUUUAUUUCAAGCUGCUUGCUUUAUGUUGCUGGGAAUUUUAAUAUUUUGCAUUUUUAUUUCCAUGCAGAUCAGCCUUGUAAUUUAGUGUGUUCUUUACAAUUUUGUAGAUCUAAUAGCUUGUAAGAAACAGAAGAAUACACUGGUACUUGUAACGUUUGUUUCGUUUUUGAAAUAAAUUUAUUCCAAUAACC